UAUGACCCCAGGUCAGGCGGGACUACCCGCUGAGUUUAAGCAUAUCAAUAA
rnacentral:rRNA from 1 species